GAUUAUGACACAUGUAUAAAUGUGACUAUUACACUUUACUAAUAGUACAGAAACACAACAUAUAGAUAUAAAUGACACAAUGAUGAUGAUCACUGAACUGAAUCCACUGUACUGUGACUCUCUGUCACACAUCAGUUCACAUGUGUUAUCGUCACCGUGUAUCUGAUGUGUCUAAGUGGUCGUCGUCACGGCUACAUGUCAGUUUCUGUGGCUGUGUGCUAGUGUUUAUUUGUGUGUGCAGGAGCAGACGGCUGGGGGGGAUGUCACAUGUGACAGGGAUGUGAACGCAGACAAAUCAGCAGCAAACAUCAGCAAACUCUGCAAGGUCGAGUCUCAGACUCUCAUGUCGUGGAGACGCUGUGUCUUUCGUUAAAAAAAACGGCUGCUUCACGAACGCUUUGGUUAAAAGUGGGGCUAUUCCAACCAUUAAAACUUUACAAGGACAGUCUGGAGCUUCUGAUUUACAGCCUUGGAUAAGAACAGAUAUUCAGAUGAAUCUACAGCGCUGGAAUCUACAGCUGUGGAGCAGGCGGAGGAGGAGGAGGAGACCAUGUGUCACAUUUGACGGAGAUGUGAACGCAGACAAAUCAGCAGCAACCAUCGGCAAACUCUGCAAGGCCGAUUCUCAGACUCUCAUGUCGUGGAGACGCUGUGUCUUUCGUUGCAAAAAGAAAGACCCUUUGUUUGCCCAGCCAAAAUAACACAACUGAAAAGGAAUGGUUCAAUUUUAUUUGUUCCAGAAAAGUACAAACCGAAUGUUCAAGUUUGUGCGGCUCAUUUCCAGACGACUGCUUCACGAACGCUUUGGUUAAAAGUGGGGCUAUUCCAACCAUUAAAACUUUACAAGGACAGUCUGGCGCUUCCGGUUUGCAGCCUGGUGGAGAUGUGUUAACAGUGGAUAUGAACAGAAGUUCAGAUGAGUCUAUAGCACUGGACUCUACAGCUGUGGAGCAGACGGCUGGGGGGGCUGUCACAUGUGACCGGGAUGUGAACGCAGACAAAUCAGCAGCAAACAUCAGCAAACUCUGCAAGGCCGAUUCUCAGACUCUCAUGUCACUUAGGCGGCCUCUCGGAAGAAGAAGUUGAAGAGGAGACCACGACCCCGUCAGCAGCUGCGGCAGAAGCAACGCAUAUUUGCGGAGACAUGCGGAGAACAGACUACUGACUAUACCUCUUCUAUAAUUAUUGAGGUUAUUUUUACUGAAAUAAAGAGUUUAAUCUAAC